UACAGAGGUCUCAAGCGUUGUUCGGAUUCAUUGGGCGUAAAGGGCGCGUAGGCUGCGGGGCAAGUCGGGUGUGAAAUCUCAGAGCUCAACUCUGAAACUGCACUCGAUACUGCUUUGCUUGAGGACUGGAGAGGAGAUUGGAAUUCACGGUGUAGCAGUGAAAUGCGUAGAUAUCGUGAGGAAGACCAGUGGCGAAGGCGGAUCUCUGGACAGUUCCUGACGCUGAGGCGCGAAGGCCCAGGGGGAGGCAAACGGG
rnacentral:rRNA from 1 species